rnacentral:rRNA from 1 species
UACGUAGGGUGCAAGCGUUAUCCGGAAUCACUGGGCGUAAAGCGCACGCAGGCGGUUCUUCAAGUCAGUGGUGAAAGCCCGGAGCUCAACUCCGGAAUUGCCAUUGAAACUGUGGAACUUGAGGAUGAGAGAGGUGAGUGGAAUUCCCAGUGUAGAGGUGAAAUUCGUAGAUAUUGGGAAGAACACCGGUGGCGAAGGCGGCUCACUGGCUCAUUUCUGACGCUCAGGCGCGACAGCGUGGGGAUCAAACAGG